GGAAUUGACGGGUCCCCGCACAAGCAGCGGAGCGUGUGGUUUAAUUCGUUGCUACACGAAGAACCUUACCUGGGUUUUGGCAUAGAGGUGGUAGGGAAGCGAAAGCGGACGACCCUUCGGGGAGCCUCUACAGGUGUUGCAUGGCUGUCGUCAGCUCGUGUCGUGAGAUGUUCGGUUAAGUCCGCUAACGAGCGCAACCCUCGCUGUGUGUUACAAGUGUCACACGGUACUGCCGGUAUUAAGUCGGAGGAAGGUGGGGAUGACGUCAAGUCAGCAUGACCUUUAUAUUCAGGGCUACACACACGCUACAAUGGUCAGUACAAUAGGUUGCCAAGCCGCGAGGCGGAGCCAAUCCUAAAAAGCUGGCCUCAGUUCAGAUUGCAGUCUGCAACUCGACUGCAUGAAGUUGGAGUUGCUAGUAACCGCAGGUCAGCUAUACUGCGGUGAAUACGUUCCCGGGGAUU
rnacentral:rRNA from 1 species